rnacentral:rRNA from 1 species
CAUGCAGUCGAACGGUAGCAGGAAGUGCUUGCACUUUGCUGACGAGUGGCGGACGGGUGAGUAAUACUUAGGAACAUGCCUUUGUGUGGGGGAUAACCAUUGGAAGCGAUGGCUAAUACCGCAUAAUGUCUUUGGACCAAAGAGGGCUUUCGGGCUCUCGCGCAAAGAGUGGCCUAAGUGAGAUUAGCUUGUUGGUGAGGUAAAGGCUCACCAAGGCGACGAUCUCUAGCUGUUCUGAGAGGAAGAUCAGCCACACUGGGACUGAGACACGGCCCAGACUCCUACGGGAGGCAGCAGUGGGGAAUAUUGCACAAUGGGGGCAACCCUGAUGCAGCCAUGCCGCGUGUGUGAAGAAGGCCUUCGGGUUGUAAAGCACUUUCAGUUGUGAGGAAAGGUUGAUGGUUAAUACCCAUCAGCUGUGACGUUAGCAACAGAAGAAGCACCGGCUAACUCCGUGCCAGCAGCCGCGGUAAUACGGAGGGUGCGAGCGUUAAUCGGAAUUACUGGGCGUAAAGCGCACGCAGGCGGUUAUAUAAGCUAGAUGUGAAAGCCCCGGGCUCAACCUGGGAAUAGCAUUUAGAACUGUAUGACUAGAGUCUUGGAGAGGGGAGUGGAAUUCCAGGUGUAGCGGUG